rnacentral:rRNA from 1 species
GGGAUUACCUCAGUAACGGCGAGUGAAGCGGUAACAGCUCAAAUUUGAAAUCUGGCUCGUCCCGAGCCCGAGUUGUAAUUUGUAGAAGAUGCUUCGGGUGGGGCCCCGGUCUAAGUGCCCUGGAACGGGACGUCACGGAGGGUGAGAAUCCCGUAUGUGACUGGUGGCCUCCGCCCGUGUGAAGCUCUUUCGACGAGUCGAGUUGUUUGGGAAUGCAGCUCAAAAUGGGUGGUAAAUUUCAUCUAAAGCUAAAUAUGGGCCAGAGACCGAUAGCGCACAAGUAGAGUGAUCGAAAGAUGAAAAGCACUUUGGAAAGAGAGUUAAACAGUACGUGAAAUUGUUGAAAGGGAAGCGCUUGCAACCAGACUUGAGCGCGGCCGAUCAUCCGGGGUUCUCCCCGGUGCACUCGGGCGCGCGCAGGCCAGCAUCGGUUUCGGUGGUUGGACAAAGGCCUUGGGAACGUGGCUCCCCUCGGGGAGUGUUAUAGCCCUCGGUGCAAUGCAGCCUACCGGGACCGAGGACCGCGCUUCGGCUAGGAUGCUGGCGUAAUGGUUGCAAGCGGCCCGUCUUGAAACACGGACCAAGGAGUCUAACAUCUAUGCGAGUAUUUGGGUGUCAAACCCACGUGCGCAAUGAAAGUGAACGGAGGUGAGAACCCUGGAGGGCGCAUCAUCGACCGAUCCUGAUGUCUUCGGAUGGAUUUGAGUAAGAGCAUAGCUGUUAGGACCCGAAAGAUGGUGAACUAUGCGUGAAUAGGGUGAAGCCAGAGGAAACUCUGGUGGAGGCUCGCAGCGGUUCUGACGUGCAAAUCGAUCGUCAAAUUUGCGCAUAGGGGCGAAAGACUAAUCGAACCAUCGCUAGGUGGCUGAGAGGCCUCUAACCGAGCGCCUAGUUCCCGUCCACGGAACUACACUGUCAAAUUGCGGGGACGUCCUGUGAGUGCCAGGCUACCGCGCGGCGGGCGAAAGCCCGGCGCGCACCAGGGUAAUGACCUCGGGUACGGUAACAACGCCUGGCUAGGGAUAAUCCGCAGCCAAGUCCUAAGGGAGGAAUCCUACGGAUGCAGUUAACAGACUAGAUGUCAGUGGGCCCACGUCGUGGGUUUAAGUUAUAGUCGAUCCACCGCGAGAGCGGCUGAUAGGAGGCAAGCGUGCGGCGGCGGACCUCCGCCCCGGAGCGCCGCACGCGAGAGCCUAUCAUACGGGGCCCCCGCGGCCC